rnacentral:rRNA from 1 species
AACGGGGGGAGCUAGUGUUAUUCAUCUUAACUGGGCGUAAAGGGUGCGUAGGCGGGUUUUUAAGUCAGGGGUGAAAUCCCGAGGCUCAACCUCGGAACUGCCUUUGAUACUGGAAAUCUUGAGUCUGGGAGAGGUGAGUGGAACUGCGAGUGUAGAGGUGAAAUUCGUAGAUAUUCGCAAGAACACCGGUGGCGAAGGCGGCUCACUGGCCCGGAACUGACGCUGAGGCACGAAAGCGUGGGGAGCAAACAGG